AGCAUUUCAGUUUGCUUGCAAACUGGAGAUGGCGACCGGCGCACGGGUGAGUAACACGUAUCCAACCUGCCGAUAACUCGGGGAUAGCCUUUCGAAAGAAAGAUUAAUACCCGAUGGUAUAAUGAAACCGCAUGGUCUUAUUAUUAAAGAAUUUCGGUUAUCGAUGGGGAUGCGUUCCAUUAGGCAGUUGGUGAGGUAACGGCUCACCAAACCUUCGAUGGAUAGGGGUUCUGAGAGGAAGGUCCCCCACAUUGGAACUGAGACACGGUCCAAACUCCUACGGGAGGCAGCAGUGAGGAAUAUUGGUCAAUGGGCGCAGGCCUGAACCAGCCAAGUAGCGUGAAGGAUGACUGCCCUAUGGGUUGUAAACUUCUUUUAUAUGGGAAUAAAGUUUUCCACGUGUGGAAUUUUGUAUGUACCAUAUGAAUAAGGAUCGGCUAACUCCGUGCCAGCAGCCGCGGUAAUACGGAGGAUCCGAGCGUUAUCCGGAUUUAUUGGGUUUAAAGGGAGCGUAGGUGGACAGUUAAGUCAGUUGUGAAAGUUUGCGGCUCAACCGUAAAAUUGCAGUUGAUACUGGCUGUCUUGAGUACAGUAGAGGUGGGCGGAAUUCGUGGUGUAGCGGUGAAAUGCUUAGAUAUCACGAAGAACUCCGAUUGCGAAGGCAGCUCACUGGACUGCAACUGACACUGAUGCUCGAAAGUGUGGGUAUCAAACAGGAUUAGAUACCCUGGUAGUCCACACAGUNNCGAUGAAUACUCGCUGUUUGCGAUAUACAGUAAGCGGCCAAGCGAAAGCAUUAAGUAUUCCACCUGGGGAGUACGCCGGCAACGGUGAAACUCAAAGGAAUUGACGGGGGCCCGCACAAGCGGAGGAACAUGUGGUUUAAUUCGAUGAUACGCGAGGAACCUUACCCGGGCUUAAAUUGCAUUUGAAUAUNNNUGNAACAGU
rnacentral:rRNA from 2 species